rnacentral:tRNA from 1 species
GGAUUGUGGCUCAGCGGUAGAGUGCUCGCCUAGCACGUGCAAGGCCCUGGGUUCAAUCCUCAGCACCA